rnacentral:rRNA from 1 species
CCCUGGUGGCGAGUGGCGAACGGGUGAGUAAUGCAUCGGAACGUGUCCUCUUGUGGGGGAUAACCAGUCGAAAGAUUGGCUAAUACCGCAUGAGAUCGAGAGAUGAAAGCGGGGGACCGCAAGGCCUCGCGCGAGAGGAGCGGCCGAUGCCGGAUUAGCUAGUUGGUGGGGUAAAAGCCUACCAAGGCGACGAUCCGUAGCUGGUCUGAGAGGACGACCAGCCACACUGGGACUGAGACACGGCCCAGACUCCUACGGGAGGCAGCAGUGGGGAAUUUUGGACAAUGGGCGCAAGCCUGAUCCAGCCAUGCCGCGUGUGUGAAGAAGGCCUUCGGGUUGUAAAGCACUUUCGGACGGAACGAAAUCGCGCGGGUUAACAGCGCGCGUGGAUGACGGUACCGUAAGAAGAAGCACCGGCUAACUACGUGCCAGCAGCCGCGGUAAUACGUAGGGUGCGAGCGUUAAUCGGAAUUACUGGGCGUAAAGGGUGCGCAGGCGGCCCCGCAAGUCAGACGUGAAAUCCCCGGGCUUAACUUGGGAAUGGCGUUUGAAACUACGGGGCUGGAGUGUGGCAGAGGGAGGUGGAAUUCCACGUGUAGCGGUGAAAUGCGUAGAGAUGUGGAGGAACACCGAUGGCGAAGGCAGCCUCCUGGGCCAACACUGACGCUCAUGCACGAAAGCGU